CUUGACUCUAGUCUGACAUUGUGAAAUGACUUAGGAGGUGUAGCAUAAGUGGGAGCCUUGGCGAUCUUGAAAUACCACUACUCUUAAUGUUAUUUUACUUAUUCUGUGAAGCUGGAGCUUGCUACAUUGUGAGUUUUGGAUUUAAGAUUGAUCUUAUGAUUGGUUGAUUUGUGUGGAAGACAUAAUCAGGUGGGGAGUUUGGCUGGGGC
rnacentral:rRNA from 14 species